GACGAACGCUGGCGGCGUGCUUAACACAUGCAAGUCGAACGAAGUGGCGAACGGGUGCGUAAUACGUGGGUAACCUGCCCUCCUUUUUGGGAUAAGCCUUGGAAACGGGGUCUAAUACAGAAUAAAGGGGGAUGGGCUCGCGGCCUGUCAGCUUGGUGGUGGGUUGAUGGGCUACCAAUGCGGUGACGGGUAGCCGGCCUGAGAGGGGGAACUGCGACAUAGAGAGUGUGAUACGGCCCACGAUCCGACGGGAUGCAGCAGGGUGGGAAAUGGCAGAAAGGGUGACAGACUGAUGCCGCGACGACGAGUGGGGGAUGAGGGCUGUCAGGUUGUAAACCUCUUUCGGUAGCGAAAGGGUAGGUGGAGAAGAAGCGCCGGCUAACUACGUGCCAGCCGCCGCGGUAAUAC
rnacentral:rRNA from 1 species